rnacentral:rRNA from 1 species
UCGGGAGGGGUAACCCUUCCGAGGGGAGAGCGGCGAACGGGUGAGUAACACGUGGGCAACCUGCCCCGGACACCGGGAUAACUCAGGGAAACCUGGGCUAAUACCGGAUACCUCGGCGUGAUCGCAUGGUCGUGCCGGGAAAGCUCCGACGGUCCGGGAUGGGCCCGCGGCCUAUCAGCUUGUUGGUGGGGUAACGGCCUACCAAGGCGGCGACGGGUAGCUGGUCUGAGAGGACGGCCAGCCACACUGGGACUGAGACACGGCCCAGACUCCUACGGGAGGCAGUAGUAGGGAAUCUUGCGCUAAUGCGCGAAAGCGUGACGCAGCGACGCCGCGUGCGGGAUGAAGGCCCUCGGGUCGUAAACCGCUUUCGGCAGGGACGAAGCGAAAGUGACGGUACCUGCAGAAGAAGUCCCGGCUAACUACGUGCCAGCAGCCGCGGUAACACGUAGGGGACGAGCGUUGUCCGGAUUCAUUGGGCGUAAAGAGCGCGUAGGCGGCUCGGAAAGUCGGUCGUGAAAUCCUGGGGCUCAACCCCGGAACUGCGUCCGAUACUUCCGAGCUGGAGGCAGGUAGGGGAGAUCGGAAUUCCUGGUGUAGCGGUGAAAUGCGCAGAUAUCAGGAGGAACACCGGUGGCGAAGGCGGAUCUCUGGGCCUUGCCUGACGCUGAGGCGCGAAAGCUAGGGGAGCGAACAGGAUUAGAUACCCUGGUAGUCCUAGCCGUAAACGUUGGGUGCUAGGUGUGGGCGGAUAUCGACCCCGUCCGUGCCGAAGCUAACGC